rnacentral:sRNA from 1 species
GUCGUGAGAUGUUGGGUUAAGUCCCGCAACGAGCGCAACCCCUGUUCUUAGUUGCCAGCGCGUAAUGGCGGGGACUCUAGGAAGACUGCCGGGGUCAACUCGGAGGAAGGUGGGGACGAUGUCAAGUCAUCAUGCCCCUUAUGUCCAGGGCUGCAAACACGCUACAAUGGCCGGUACAAAGGGCUGCAAACUCGCGAGAGUAAGCGAAUCCCAUAAAGCCGGUCUCAGUUCGGAUUGGAGGCUGCAACUCGCCUCCAUGAAGCUGGAGUUGCUAGUAAUCCCGGAUCAGCACGCCGGGGUGAAUACGUUCCCGGGCCUUGUACACACCGCCCGUCACACCACGAAAGUCGGCAACACCCGAAGCCGGUGGCCUAACCGCAAGGAAGGAGCCGUCGAAGGUGGGGUCGGUGAUUGGGGUGAAGUCGUAACAAGGUAGCCGUACCGGAAGGUGCGGCUGGAUCACCUCCUUUCUAAGGAGCACUUCUCAGUCGUUGGUCGGCAUUCGCCGGCCCGGCUCGAGACAGUUCCCAGUUGGUGCACUGGUGGGUCAGUCGUCGUCACGACAUCGGUCGUAGGGUUCGUCCCUCCCGACGCCGUCCGGCGCUUGUCCUUGUCUUCUCUUCCGUUUUGAGGGAGUCAUCUCCUUCUGCGCACGGCAUGAGCGUUCCCCUUCGGGGUCGAGUGCUCCGCUGCCCCGGUGCGUGCGUCGGCCAGAACAUCGGCCCCGCGCAUCGUGCGUCGCCCCUUGAGAACUGCAGAGCAAGCACGAGCAUCUUGUUCUUUUUCCAAGCUACAAAGAGCCAACGGUGGAUGCCUUGGCGCCAGGAGCCGAUGAAGGACGCGUCUGGCUGCGAAAAGCUUCGGGGAGCCGCCGAGAAGGCUUUGAUCCGAAGGUGU